rnacentral:lncRNA from 1 species
CUGCCGACAGGCGGAUACAACGCACCUUAAACGCGUUAUCUCGAGUAUAUCAGUAUUAAUCUGGUUCAUAUUUUACCUUUAUUGAGUAUAUUGUUAUCUGUGGUCUUUAGUAUAUCGUUAUCUUUGGUCUUGAGUAAUUUUUAGCUGAUGUAACUCUAUUAAUACAGUGCAGAUCACUAUUGCCAAAAAAGUCGAUCUUCAGGAUACCAAAAAAUUUGAUUGUCCUGCUAUGGUAUAAAAGAAAUUGUUGAAUUUCCAGAGUUUAAGGUAUUGUAUUGGAGCAAUAGUGGUAUUGUUAUGCUAUUGGUAUUUAUAGGUGUGUCUAUUUAUAUGUUAUUAGGACCCAGCAAAUCAAGUGUUGCUUUGAUUUGUGAUUUGAAUUUAAUAAGUGUUUUUAGAAUCAUUUUUGUUUGUGUUUUUUUUUUCAAUUUAGUUUAUUUAAAUAAUAAAAGUUUAUUUAAUUCACAAAUGUAUAUUAUGAAAAAUUGUUAAACUUAUUUUUUCUCAUAUUGCUUAUACGCUUCAUGAUUCGAUUCGCAAAUUAAGAUCUGCUUGGAUUCAAGAUUCGAUUUGAAAUUAAAAAUAACGAUUGCGCAGAAAGUAUAUCUUAACAUUUCCUGAUAUUUCUGUUCAUAAGAGCCAUACAGUUGGUGAUAAUGCAGGUCUCAGUCAGCCCAUUUCUGAGGAUCUCAUUGUAAAAAUUUCUGAGCUAGUUAAAAAAGGUGUUAACACUGUAUCGGAAAUUAGACGGCAUCUUGAGUUUUUUGUUCAAGCAGAAUUUACUCCCAAUAAUAAUCUACAAAACACAAACAAGCGUUUCUUUCCAAUAGAUAAGGCCAUUCGAAAUCAUAUGCUCAAUGCAAGGAUAAAGCUUUGCAGAUCUUUGAUAGAUCAAGAAUGUUUGCAUGAUAAAAUAAAUGAAUGGCGAAGAAUCUUUCAAGAAGCAAUGAUAAGUUUAGACCAAAAGGUGUAAGCAUUGUUGAUGGUAAUGAUCCUGAACUUAAGGAUUCAUUGUUGUUUAUCUAUCAAGAUAUGUGGCAAAAAAAAUUACUUUUGCGAUACGGAACUGAGCUUAUUUUUCUUGAUGCAACAUAUCGCACAACAAAGUAUGCUCUAGCGCUUUUUUUUCCAGUUGUUAAAACAAACAUUGAUAAUCAGGUUGUUGCUAUUUUUGUGUGUGAAAAUAAAACCACAUCUGCUAUCACAGAAGUAUUAUCGUACAUUUAAAAAUGGAACCCUGUGUUUCAACCUGAGUUUUGUUUAACUGAUUACUCAAAUGAAGAAAUAAGGUCACUGGAAUUAGUGUUUCCAGGGUGUAAUGUUUUAAUUUGUGACUUUCAUCGAAAGCAAGCUUGGGAGAGGUGGCUUUCUAAAACUGCUAAUGUAUGUUGUAUUGUUAAAGAUGCAGUUAAGUUAAAACUGCAUAAAAUCGCUCAUGCAACAACUUAGGAAAUUUGUCAAAAUGCUAUUGACACAUUAAAAGAUAAAAAGCAACCCGAAACUAGCAGAAUAUUUAAAUAGUACUUGAUUAUGUAACCCAAAGAGAUGGGUGUUUGCUUUUCGACGACAUCGUUUAUUGCGAAAUAUUAAUACUAACAAUGAUACUGAAUGACUAAACCAAUCUUUGAAAUACAUACAAAUUUUGGAGAAAAGAAAAAAUUCUUCUCUGACUUCUAUGCUUAGCAUUUGUAUUGAGGAAUUUCUUCCUCAUAAUUAUGAAAAGUUAGUUAUUUUUAUGUUAUUUAUGCUUGAACCACUUUUAUAAUAGUACUGCUGAUUUCAUUACAAAUAUAAAUGGUAGUAACUUCAUUUCUACAGUGGUGGCCAAAUUAUAAAAUUAUUAAUUACCAGGAUUAUUUUGAAAUGUACCUACUUUGUCACAAAUAAAUUAUUUAAAUUAAUUUAUAUAUAGUUACUUCAUGUAUAGCCCAAUAUUGGCUAAGUGAUUAUAAGUGCAAUUUAUUUAUUUUUGAUCAAAUAUCUUCUAUCUGUUAGGGGUCAGUAUUUUCUUAUUUGUUUAGUGUUUAUGAGCUGAAAUAAAAGGAAAAUGUGUAUUAAUAAGAGGUGCCAGACAUUGCAUUAUAGUCAAUUUUUAUGUUCUAAAAAUGAACAUGUUUAGUUAAUGAAGCAUUUUACGACUGCUGCCUUAACUUGGCAAAUAGUGUUGACUAUGAUCGUUCACUUUUAUGCAAGAUGGAGCACCUUAGCUGACAACCACAUUAAGCUUUCGCAAUGGCCAGAUAAUUCACCUGACAUGAACCCUAUUUAAUUCUUUUAAUACUAAAACUGAUCAAUUUUGUGCUUUUUUACUAUAAAAUAUUGCUUUUCUUAACUAUUCCUAUUUUUUGUGAUGAGUAAAUUCUUGAAGUAAAAACGCUGCAUUAUUUAUGAAUAUAUUGCACAAAUGCAUCAAAAAUUACAUUUAGUAACAUUUACAGGAUAAUAAUUUGGCCACCACUGUAUGUAAAACUUAUAAAAAUAUUAUAAUUGUUACCAUUACUGUAUUGUUAAAU